rnacentral:rRNA from 1 species
AUUGAACGCUGGCGGCAGGCUUAACACAUGCAAGUCGAGCGGCUCGCGGGACGGGUGCGUAAUAGCUAGGAAUCGGCCUGGGAGUGGUGGAUAGCGUUAGGAAACGGGCGCUAAUACCAAUACCUAUCAGAUGAGGCUAGGUCGGAUUAGAAAGUUGGUGGGGUAAAGGCCUACCAAGGCGACGAUCCGUAACUGGUCUGAGAGGAUGAUCAGUCACACUGGAACUGAGACACGGUCCAGACUCCUACGGGAGGCAGCAGUGGGGAAUAUUGGGCAAUGGGCGAAAGCCUGAUCCAGCCAUGCCGCGUGUGUGAAGAAGGUCUUCGGAUUGUAAAGCACUUUAAGUUGGGAGGCGUUACCAACAGAAGAAGCACCGGCUAACUUCGUGCCAGCAGCCGCGGUAAUUC